UGGGGAAUAUUGGGCAAUGGGCGCAAGCCUGACCCAGCAACGCCGCGUGAGGGAAGAAGGUCUUCGGAUUGUAAACCUCUGUUCUUGGAGAAGAGAAGGAGACGGUAUCCAAGGAGGAAGCCCCGGCUAACUACGUGCCAGCAGCCGCGGUAAUACGUAGGGGGCAAGCGUUGUCCGGAAUGACUGGGCGUAAAGGGCGUGUAGGCGGCCGAUUAAGUCUGGAGUGAAAGUCCUGCUUUCAAGGUGGGAAUUGCUUUGGAGACUGGUUGGCUUGAGUGCGGAAGAGGCAAGUGGAAUUCCCAGUGUAGCGGUGAAAUGCGUAGAGAUUGGGAGGAACACCAGUGGCGAAGGCGACUUGCUGGGCCGUAACUGACGCUGAGGCGCGAAAGCGUGGGGAGCAAACAGG
rnacentral:rRNA from 2 species